rnacentral:rRNA from 1 species
AAGCUCUUGAUCGAAGCCCCGGUAAACGGCGGCCGUAACUAUAACGGUCCUAAGGUAGCGAAAUUCCUUGUCGGGUAAGUUCCGACCUGCACGAAUGGCGUAACGAUGGCGGCGCUGUCUCCACCCGAGACUCAGUGAAAUUGAAAUCGCUGUGAAGAUGCAGUGUAUCCGCGGCUAGACGGAAAGACCCCGUGAACCUUUACUAUAGCUUUGCACUGGACUUUGAAUUUGCUUGUGUAGGAUAGGUGGGAGGCUUUGAAGCGUGGACGCCAGUCUGCGUGGAGCCAACCUUGAAAUACCACCCUGGCAACUUUGAGGUUCUAACUCAGGUCCGUUAUCCGGAUCGAGGACAGUGUAUGGUGGGUAGUUUGACUGGGGCGGUCUCCUCCUAAAGAGUAACGGAGGAGUACGAAGGUGCGCUCAGACCGGUCGGAAAUCGGUCGUAGAGUAUAAAGGCAAAAGCGCGCUUGACUGCGAGACAGACACGUCGAGCAGGUACGAAAGUAGGUCUUAGUGAUCCGGUGGUUCUGUAUGGAAGGGCCAUCGCUCAACGGAUAAAAGGUACUCCGGGGAUAACAGGCUGAUACCGCCCAAGAGUUCAUAUCGACGGCGGUGUUUGGCACCUCGAUGUCGGCUCAUCACAUCCUGGGGCUGAAGCCGGUCCCAAGGGUAUGGCUGUUCGCCAUUUAAAGUGGUACGCGAGCUGGGUUUAGAACGUCGUGAGACAGUUCGGUCCCUAUCUGCCGUGGACGUUUGAGAUUUGAGAGGGGCUGCUCCUAGUACGAGAGGACCGGAGUGGACGAACCUCUGGUGUUCCGGUUGUCACGCCAGUGGCAUUGCCGGGUAGCUAUGUUCGGAAAAGAUAACCGCUGAAAGCAUCUAAGCGGGAAACUUGCCUCAAGAUGAGAUCUCACUGGAACCUUGAGUUCCCUGAAGGGCCGUCGAAGACUACGACGUUGAUAGGUUGGGUGUGUAAGCGCUGUGAGGCGUUGAGCUAACCAAUACUAAUUGCCCGUGAGGCUUGACCAU